GGUAUCAUGGAAACACUAGCGUUAGCCAAUAUGGUGCCUAAAAAUAGAACCUGACUCUGAAUAGAUGACUGCUUUAAUUUCACAAGCACUCACGCCUUCUUUUUUUUAUUGUAGUUUUUUUUUUUGUCAGCAAAUGUAUUCCGGUUGAUUUGAUUUCAAUCUAAUAUUUUUGGAUGUCUGAGAACUGACUUGCAGGACGUGACGUGUCAGGAAGUAAGUUCUCAGACAGAUUCAAAACAAUGAGUGCUGUUGGAUCAGGCAGGCAUCAACAUGGCCAACUAUUGCAGGGUGGGUGGGUGGAGGUCCUGAUGGAAGUGGUCACCCCUCAGACUGGCAGGGGAGACGGCGUAGUGAGACACAUAAUGUGCGGAAAUGCAUUGCAUUGUGAAGGGCAUGUUGAAAGGGCAACUUCAUUUAAUCUCUCACAGACAAAACAGCACAAAAUAUGAACCAGCGUUGAAGCCUCAACAGGCGUCCAUGUGUAUGUCCGCACAGCCUCGUCGAUGUAUCUCUGUUAAAAAAAAAAGUCUGUUUUGUAACCCUGUCACAUCCUCAGCGCACACCUCUUACCGGAACUGGAGGAAAACAACAGAUCCUGAACAUACUGAAGAGAGAAGAGGAGAGAUGCAGCGUGAGAAGGCAUUCGGUUCUGUAAACUAGAGAAAAAUGUGAAAAUAAAUCAUUUAAUGAAACAUAAUAUUGAAUAAACCAGUUGAUCGUAAUGAUGAUGUUU